rnacentral:lncRNA from 1 species
CUGGGGGUUGUACCUCCCUUCUCACUGGGCCUGCGUCCCCAUCUGUAACAUGGGGACUCUGUGGGGGUUGGGGCCUCCAGUUCUGCAUCUGCAGCCCCGCCUGAGCACUGGGUCUGCACUAGUGGCAGCGGACAACACAGAGGCUGGCAGUGCAAUGGGCUUUCCCUCUGCCUCCCAGCUGCACAGCUCUCCCUUCCCACUGCUAUUCCUCUGCCCAGGCCCGUCCCCACCUGUAUUCUUGGGACUCUAACUGCCUGCAGCAGAUUCUUCCCUGGAGGCCCUCUGGGUGGCUUGGCCAAAGCAUUGUUUUCAGGGACUGCACAGGAGUCCCACCCCACCCCUCAAGCCUGCCUCCCUCGAGUCUGAGCCAAAGGACCAGCAACUGAUCCCUCAUCCCGUUUUCCCUGGCAAGCCCAGCAUGGGUGCCAGAAAAGAUUUGUUGAAAGAACAAAUGAACUUCGCUUGGACUCCCCCUUUCUUAGGUCAGUAAUACUCCUGGCGUUGCCAUGCAGGGAAUUUUCUAACAUCAGCAAAUGUAAAGUAAUAUCUUGGACUGGAAGAGGGUGGGGACAGGACUCAGGGCUCCACACAACCAUUUGUUCAUCUUUGUGCUGCUCACAUGGAUGUGUUUGGUUCGUGGGAAUUAAGCAAGUUGUGACUUGGAGGUGUCUUUGCAUUUUUCUGUAUACAAAUAUUCAGAAUAUAAAAUAGAAUUAGAUAAGAUAUAUAAAAACAAAAAGAUUUGAGAUCUUUGAAAAAAUUCUGGUUUAGCCGUAUUUCCUAUUAUGAUGAAAAUGUUUUCCAUAAAAGAUAUAAAAUCCACUUUUUUAGAGUGUUGAGCAAAACUGGAACGUGUGCAUAAGGCCCCGAGUUC